CAGAGUGACCUGACCGCAGACAACCUCCUUUUUAGUGAUGAGGUCAUAGCCAAUGGUUUCCAUUCUUGUGAUAGUGAUGAAGAUGACAGAGCCUCGCAUGCAAGUUCUAGUGACUGGACUCCAAGACCACGGAUAGGUCCCUACACUUUUGUUCAACAGCAUCUUAUGUUAGGCACAGACCCAAGGACAAUUUUGAAAGAUCUGUUACCAGAAACUAUUCCUCCACCUGAACUAGAUGAUAUGACACUGUGGCAAAUUGUUAUAAACAUUCUUUCAGAACCACCAAAAAGGAAAAAACGAAAAGAUAUUAAUACCAUUGAGGAUGCUGUGAAACUUUUGCAAGAGUGCAAAAAGAUUAUGGUUUUGACUGGAGCAGGGGUAUGUAUGUAUGUAUGUAUGUAUGUAUAGUUAUAAUGAUAGAGUGCAAAUAGAUUACUAUUUAAGCCCUCUCCAACAGUUUACAAAGUGCAGAUGCACCCAUGCAGAGCCAUGCUUGUAUCAGUGGGAGUGCUGUGAUGCACUUAUAUUUUGUAACUUGCAAAAUUAGGUCAAAUCUUGAAAGCAACCAGAUACAUUUUAAUGUAGUAGGACUUUGUGUGCCUUAUUACAGUAAUAAAAUUAAUUUUGAGAUUGUAAAGCAUGUGCUAAAUAAUUUAAAAAACCCACAUCCUAAUUAGUAAGGUAUCCAGAGACGGUAAAAAUGUUUAUUCCUAAUCCCCCUUUUUUUUUUUUAUAUUUAAUUUCUGUCUGUCUAUGUAGUUUUGAAACAUAUAUAGCAAUAUCUUCUACUUAAUUUGUUGGCAUUAUAUAAUUCUCAGAGGAAAACUCCCAUUGACUUCAAUGGGACUUAGAUUGGACUUCAAUAGAUUACUGAGAGUUGUGUUCAGCCUUUUGCAGCCAGUCCACAGACCUGACCCCUUGCAGGAUCAGCGCCCAGAUCGGGCCCCAUAUAUCCAAUCUAGCAUGUAGGGAUGCUGUUUGGCCCAUGUGACUCUCCCUGGGUCCGGAAAUUUGGCAGCAGGGGCAGUUAGAGAAGCAGUGGCAGUGUUGCUAUCAAAUUUCCAGGCACAUAGGAAGCUGGAUGGGCUGGAUCUGGUUUGAAGACUGAUGUUGAGCACCCCUGACCUGAGAACAUUGUAUCUGGCUCUUAGUUUGCAACCACAGCAGUUACUGGUGUAGUCACAGCUCUUACACAUGUAUAGCUUUUGUUACAGUGUAGAAGUCAAGGAAAUGGUUGCUUGUAAAUCACUGCUUCCUCUGGUUGUAAAAGAAAGAUGCUGGCUCAUUGCCCCUCAUAACACAGUAUGUAAAAAACCAAACAAAAAAAAAAGAUGAGCAAUUAGAGGCAGACCAGUAUGUCCGUAAGAGAAAGAAGUGACCAUUGUGCUGCUGUGACCCAAUCUUAUUUAUUCUAUAAUUGCUAUUAAGCACCCCAGUUAAAAUAAAUAAAGCUACAAUAGGGAGAUUGGUUAUACUUGUUUUAAACAAUAUCUUAAUCUUAAGUUUGGUGUUCAAAAAUAGAAAAAUAAUAGUAAAAAAUGUCUGGUCUGGUAGAUAUAAAAACAAGAAAAGAAUAGUUUUUUUUGUUUUGUUUUGUUUUGUUUUUUUAAUCCUCUUUUCAACUAGAAGAUAAUCUAGAAGAUUUAAUUUAUUUUGCCAGACCAAACUUCAAGUGUUUUUAAGUGUUGUUGGACAUAUAUUCAAGAAAGAUAUAAAUCAGUGUCCUCCUAUUAAAUGGCUCAUCUCUGAAAUAUGGUUUGCACUAUAAUUUUGUGCUGCAAACAAUGUAAUUUUUCUCACUAUGUCUCUUGCAUACUUGUUAGCAGAGAUCUUGGCUUUCUCUGAUUUAAAAAAAACUGCAAAAUCUGCAUUUUCCACUAUGCAAAUGAAAUGCCACUAAUAUAUCAGUUGAACACACUGAUAUAUAUUUA